rnacentral:rRNA from 1 species
AUGAACGCCGGCGGCGUGCCUAAUACAUGCAAGUCGAGCGAACGGACGAGAAGCUUGCUUCUCUGAUGUUAGCGGCGGACGGGUGAGUAACACGUGGAUAACCUACCUAUAAGACUGGGAUAACUUCGGGAAACCGGAGCUAAUACCGGAUAAUAUUUUGAACCGCAUGGUUCAAAAGUGAAAGACGGUCUUGCUGUCACUUAUAGAUGGAUCCGCGCUGCAUUAGCUAGUUGGUAAGGUAACGGCUUACCAAGGCAACGAUGCAUAGCCGACCUGAGAGGGUGAUCGGCCACACUGGAACUGAGACACGGUCCAGACUCCUACGGGAGGCAGCAGUAGGGAAUCUUCCGCAAUGGGCGAAAGCCUGACGGAGCAACGCCGCGUGAGUGAUGAAGGUCUUCGGAUCGUAAAACUCUGUUAUUAGGGAAGAACAUAUGUGUAAGUAACUGUGCACAUCUUGACGGUACCUAAUCAGAAAGCCACGGCUAACUACGUG